rnacentral:rRNA from 1 species
UACGGGGGGGGCAAGCGUUGUUCGGAAUUACUGGGCGUAAAGGGUUCGUAGGUGGCUUGCUAAGUCAGACGUGAAAUCCCUCAGCUUAACUGGGGAACUGCGUCUGAGACUGGCAAGCUUGAGUGCAGGAGAGGAAUGCGGAAUUCCAGGUGUAGCGGUGAAAUGCGCAGAUAUCGGGAGGAACACCGGUGGCGAAGGCGGUUCUCUGGGCAUUACCUGACGCUGAGGAGCGAAAGCCAGGGGAGCGAACAGG